CACGGCGUCACGGCGCCCGCCGGCAACGCCUCCCCGACGCCCCCCGAUUCCUGGAAAGAGCGGCAGGGGGAGCGGCCCGGCCCGGCCCGUCUCGGUCUGGUCUGCAGGAGUUGUGGCGGCCGCACGCCGCGAUGGGUCGCGUCGCUCCUCCGGAGUGCCACGGCGUAUUCUGCUUACGAUCAAAGUUCCCGCGCGUGGCGAGCAGAGCGCCGUGCGGUUUUGUGUCUGCGGCGCGAAGCGAGGCCUGGGCGCGGCGGGACCUCAGCCGUGCGGUGAAGGUCGCGGCUGCGGGUCGGGAGCGGCCUGUGGGGAGCGAAAGCAAAAGCAAAGCCAGGCCGGGCAGGAGGAGCCUUGCGCUGAGGGACGGGCGGCCUGCGGACCGCGCCUGGCCGGCUCUCCAGGCAUAGGGGCAGCUGCUGCCGUCGGUCUGAGCUCGCAAGUUUGAGGCCGCUGCUGAGAGCCGAACGAGAUGUGGAAGACCCCGUAGGUCCCGAGGGGAAAGUCAGCGACUGCCCCCUCCUCUCACAACGUUUCACAACUAAAUCAAAAGUCAUCGUGCAGCAGAAGAGGGUGAAAGGAGAUAACGACAGAAGGGGAGGAGCGGGGCUGUGUCCUUUCACAGACCGGGCAGUGAAUGCGAGGGAAUGGGACCUGCAGUGGAUCAGCAGAGAUUCUGAGAACUGAAGGCCUCACCAGAGUGAACAGAAUCAGUGGGUUACAGUGUAUGAGCACAAAGUCUUACUAGCCACUCUCUUACUCCUCCCUGUCCCUGACCUCAAGGUACAGAACCUUCUACCGUGUCCCUCAUCUUCAUGCAGGAUCUUCUUCCCUUUUUGUUGCUGGAGGACAACAUGAACUCCUCCUGCUAACUCCUGGACCUUUCUUUAGUCCAUCUUUCUGAGCUAUGAGGCCAGCAGAAGCUCCCGUGUAUCCUGCUCUCUGUGGGACAACACCCAUUGCAAUGGGCAGGGGCUGGGUCCCUCUGUGUGAAGAAGCGGCAGAGGAGAACUAGCUAGAAGGGCUGGAAAGGCAUACUGGGGAACCUCCUGCUAUGAUAAGAGCAGUAACUGCUUUUGUAUACCAACCAAAUGGAAACUGAAAACUCUAUAAUAAAACCAACAGUAAGUGACUUUCAGAUCAGAAAACAGGUUUGCAAGACACAGUUUGUGAGCACGCCAUGGAAUGCAAACUGCCUCACGUUUUUUGGGGUCAGAGGAGGAAGCCAUCCCUCCCAUCUACAAAGAUCAGCUUGGGUGAGAAGCCAAGGCUCUAAAAACAUGACACUAUUAAAACAUGUUCCUCGGUUUCAUAUGGAUAUCGAGGAUGCAAAUGGGUUUGGAAUAGGUUUGUCAGUCAGUAAGAGAAAUGAAGAGUCGCAUCUUCCCUUUGAGCCCAAGAAACAGUGAGACAUAAUGAGCUUUUUUCUAUUUGAAGAAGUUUUAUUAUUACUUUCUAAGCUUUCAAAAUUUUUUGGAGAAUCUGAGUAAAAUGUUAGAGGCUUUCUACAGUAGUUUUUAUGGGUUGAGUGUCUAAUUAUUUCUCAGUUCUCUUCUAAGUUUCACAGAUAGGAAUCUCAACUCAUAGAAAGAUUAAACCCACAACAUGCUCUGUCUUGCACUGGAGUUCCCCAGGCCUGAGCUGGGAGCUCAACCUUGUGCUGCAUGGAAAUGCAUGAAGGAAGGUAUGUACAAAAACCAAGCAGGAGCCAUCCUGGCUGCUUAGCCAAACUGCACCAGAACCUAACAAGUCCAUAAGGGAGCUGUCUGCUUUCGCUAAGAGCUGUCAGUUGGGAACUCUGGAAAUACACAGCCCCUUGCUAGGCCAGGUCUGCCUUUCCAAAGGAAAUGACAUGCAGGUAGUCCCCCUGUUCCCCAUACUCUUGUAUGGCCAACAGGCACACGUUUAGAGAACUCCUCUGGGGAGCCGACAGCUGUUCUGAAGUACUCCGUGUAUUCAAAAUACCAACUUUGAAGAACACACCUGCAGUGCAAGCACUAGAAAAUUGGAGGUUAUAGGGUGGGCCUCUUUCAGGAUUCUGCAUUUGUGAAAGUAGCUACUUAGAUACCUGAGUCUCUACUGAGAGUAAUAGUGAUGAAACUCGUAUUACAAGUCUCCACUGUCCUUUAUGGAGUUGUUAUAUGAUCUCAAGGUACCCACUGGACUGGCUCCUGUAGAUAAGAAAGGUUUUACUAACUUCUGUGCAGGCAGAUGCUCGCAUCUCCAGCAGGGAGGCCAAACCUCUGAUGAUGAUUCUCUUCUUCUGGUCAAAAUGUCAUCUCCAGCAUCUGCUACCUGACCCUAACUGCAGAAGAGCUUUAUUCGCUGGAACAGCAGUUUUUUCUAACUCAUGCAAGAGGCUUUUCUCCAGAAUGGGCUUUUAUUUAAAGAAAACUCUCAGAGGUAAGACUAGAUACCAUGUUCCACAAGGUUACUAUUACAGUUGCUUUCCACAUCUUCCUUCUCUGACACCCCUGGCUAGUGUGUCCCCUGUCUACACCUUCUCACCAACAAGCUUUGGUCUUUCUUCUGGUCUGGUGGUUCAUUCAUCUCAAUACAGCACAACAAUCAUUUGAACCUUUUUUAGAUUUUUGAUUUUCUUUUUUUUUUUUUUUGUUGAGUUUCUUCUCAUAUCUACACAGACCACUUUUCAUAAUUUGUCUUCUCUGCAUGUGUUCUCUCUCUACCCAAGGAGAUUCCCAACUGUCCAUGCUAGUUUGGGCAGUCAUUCAGCAGCUAAAACUCUUCUGUCUCAAGGCUGGCAUCUCCACCGUACAGCAGCUGGUAUACAAGUUCCAUUUCAGAUCACACACCUUCUCCAAGAAUGGGCAUGGCUUUCUGAUGAAUAGCUCCUCCAUUGUCCCCUAAAGGCUCUCAGUGUUUUCCCCAAAGAGGUCUUAUCCCCAUCAUUGUAUUGCUUCCUCCUUGCACUGCCUUAAAGCCUGCUUUUAUUUCCCAGAGGUAUUUUCAAGCUGAGGUAGGCACUGACAUAAACAAAUAAAGAAGUCAUACUAAUCUCUUCUUCCUUCUACACAGCAUGAACUUUCCACCUCCAAAUUUGUUAUCUAAAGCCUGCACUGAAAUCUCUUUUUCCCUUGUUCUUCU
ensembl:lncRNA